rnacentral:rRNA from 1 species
AUUGAACGCUGGCGGCAUGCCUUACACAUGCAAGUCGAACGGCAGCAUGGAAGAGCUUGCUCUUCUGAUGGCGAGUGGCGAACGGGUGAGUAAAGCAUCGGAACGUACCGUGUAGUGGGGGAUAACGUAGCGAAAGUUACGCUAAUACCGCAUACGCACUGAGGUGGAAAGCAGGGGAUCGCAAGACCUUGCGCUAUACGAGCGGCCGAUGUCAGAUUAGCUAGUUGGUAGGGUAAAGGCCUACCAAGGCGACGAUCUGUAGCGGGUCUGAGAGGAUGAUCCGCCACACUGGGACUGAGACACGGCCCAGACUCCUACGGGAGGCAGCAGUGGGGAAUUUUGGACAAUGGGCGAAAGCCUGAUCCAGCCAUGCCGCGUGAGUGAGAAGGCCUCGGUUGUAAGA